rnacentral:lncRNA from 1 species
UAAUAAAUUUAAGGUUCUCUUUGGGUUGGCAACCUCACCAUUUUUGUAUUAUGUCGGUAAAGUGCGGUCUGGUAACCGUGUCAUGCAUUCAUUGGCCCAAGUUUAUCAAUCCAAAAAAGGUCAGUGUAACUAUCCUGUUCUUUGACUUCUUUCCUGAUGACAAGGACUCUCUUCCUCCCAUGAUAUUUGUCGGUUAUGUCAUGUAAUAAAAAAUCGAUUCAUUUUUAAAAUUUUGGAAAUAUAUCUCCAAGUUAAAUAUAUAUUGAGUUUUUUUCAAAUAAAAACUUUUGUGUGGCCAACAACCAAAGAUUACG